rnacentral:tRNA from 1 species
AGUCAGAUGCUCGCAGAUUGAGCGGCUUAGCUUGCGCUAAGAAAAGUGUAGGAUCGAGGCCUACUCUGUUUU